CAUUUCAUUUCAAAUUUCAAAAAACAACUUCCCUUCGCAGCUUCUCUCUCAUUUCUAAAUUUCUUCAUCUUUCUUCUCAACGGCAACUAUCUCCCUCCUCUUCCCCCUCUCUCCGCCUCCCCUUCUCUCUCGAUCUCUUGUCUCCUUCGUCUUCCUCAGAAUCUUCACUCUUCCUUUCUCUCAAUUUCUAUUCUCUAAAAUGAAGCAUCCACCCAAGAAACCCUAUCUUGCUAAAUACCCAUCUCGCCGAUCCACUGCCAUUUUCUAUUCCAUGCGCUAACGGCGCCGGAAUCAAGGGCGGAAGACCCCUCGGAAGCCUAUGUCGUCUUCCAAAGAAAAUGCUUCACCGUCAGAUCCCAAAUUCCCAACUCCAUGGUUCCCGAUUCCAAACCCUCGCCGACUAAGUUGAAGAGCCUGCUCCAUCUUCUAACCCACUUAAGCGGAAGCUCAGUAUGGAGACCGUUCCUGAGAAUUCCAUCCCUGGGUUGUCUGAUUCUGUUGUUAAGAUUAGAGAAGAUGUAAAAUCUGGUGUAGAAAAUUUAACAGAGGAGUGUGUAUCCACAAUGGCAGCCGUUACUCGGCUUCUAAUGAAGUCGAUUAUGGUGGCUCACUUUGGAAACUUGUUACAUAGCUACUGCCAAAAGCUUUAAAUUGCCUUCCGGAUGCACCUCAAAAUCAGCUUCAUUCUUUGUGUUUUCUAAUUUCUAGCUCACUCAAUUCAGCCAUGGAUGUACGGAGAUAUUCCAAAUUUUAUAAUGCAAAACCUGAUGAAGCCGAUGAUGGUGUUUGCACAAGAGCUUGGAGAUUCUUUUUAUCUUACUUCACAAUUGACGUUCUUUCAGUUCUUCCACUCCCCCAGGGUUUACAGAAAGAUUUGAACUUUUCAUUUGUGGUCGUGAGCUGGCCAAUGCAUUUUUCGAAUUGAUCGAUCGUAUUUAUCAGGUAAGAGGUGAUUAUAUCAAUCAUUAAUGUUAGAAGGGUGCACAGAUGAUGAAACUUUUUAGCCAAUUUCAUGGCAUUUGAAAGAGAGAAAGUACAUUAGUAUUGAACUCAAGUUAAACUGGAUAGUCUAUCACCUUUUGGAAGAUAACUUUCCUGUACUUUGUUCCAUCUUGUAUAGACCCUUUCAGUCGAAAGGUUACCAAAGGAAUCGUUUUUGUUAUGUGUUAUGUGCUUAACUCCAUAACAAUGUGCGUCCAAGCUCUACAUGAGCAUUCUAUUCUUCUUGCUUGGUAUACUUGUGCAUUAUUGGUUUAUGUGCCAUGUCAAGAAAUAAUAGUUUCUAUUGGAACGUUUUAGUGUUCCGGUUCCAUGAUAAUUGGAAUGGUUGUAAUGAUCUUUUUCUUUUAAAACAAACAAAAUUGGCACAGAGGAUGAUUAGAAGACCAGAUCAGGCAACACAAUGAGAAGCAUGGCUCAGCUGUUUCUUAUGUAUCUCGUUUCUUAUGUAAUGACUCUUUGGACUUCAAUUGCCAAAAAGAUGAGGAUGAUUCUUAUGAAGUGACACUUGAUGAUGAUUUUCUUACUGCUUUGGAAUAUGGAAUGCCACCAGCUUCUGGACUGAUGUAGGCUGGAAAAGGAGGUGAGCUAACAUUGAAUAGAAGAACCAUAACAAGAGGGGCACUGGAUUCAUUGAGAAAUGGGCGAGAGAUUCCAUGGCUCCCAUUUCUUUAACUUUUGCAAUCGAUAGUAAUGUCGAUCUUGACAGGAAUGUUGGAAUGAAGAUUUAGGAAUUAAUUCCUCUUUCUUAGAAGAAUCUAAAUCUAUACAAAGGUCUUCUUUUUUGUUUCCAAUCAUCUGAGGUAAUCUUGUAGGUUCUUUAAUUCUUGGUGGAAAUUCUAGACUACCUGAGGUAAUUUUUGCUUUCUUAAUAGUUUUUGUUGCAUGUUUUCAUGCCAUUCUUGAAAAUCUUGAGGUUGUUCUUGAUUGUUCCCAUGUUUGGUUUAGGUUUGUUUUGAACACCUUUUAGGUUUGUUUGAGACUCAAUUUGUUGCAUCUACACACUUAAUUGCUAUUUUGGGACUUGAAGUGCUUUUUUUACAAUGUUUGAAUUUUUUUGGUAAGUUAUGACUUACGAAAUUAUACUUGAGCAUUGUUAGGCUAUUUUUUAAGUUCGAAUGGUACUUAGACAUGUUGGUAGGUUAUGAGUUAUGAGUUACGAAAUUAUAUUUGUUGGGUCAUUUUGAUAGUUCAAGUGAUACUUAGACACGAUUUGAACAACUUUUAGGUUUGUUUGAGACUCAGUUUGUUGCAUCCACACACUUAAUUGCCAUUUUGGGUCUUGAAGUGCUUUUUUUACAAUGUUUGAAUUUUCUUGGUAGGUUAUGAGUUACGAAAUUAUACUUGAGCAUUGUUAGGCCAUUUUUUAAGUUCGAAUGGUACUUAGACAUGUUUUGAACAGGUGUUAGGUUGUUUCGAACUAAGUUUGUUGCACAUACAGACAUGAUUGCCAUCGAAGGGCUUUUUCCACACUUUUUUGAACUUUUUGGCAAGUUAUGAGUUACAAGCUUUUGCACUUAAGCGUCAUUGGGUCGUUUGAAAGCUAAGACGUGUUUCGAAUGCCUUUUUGGUCGGUUUGAAUCUAAGUUUGUUGCACUUACACACUUGGCAUUCUAGGUCUUGAAGUGCUUUUUUUCAAUCUUUUUUGAACUUUUUGGUACGUUGUGAGUUACGAACUUACAGUUAAGAUUUGUUAGAUCGUUUUGAAAGUUCAAGUGAUACUUGGACAUGUUUUGAAUGCGUUUUAGGUUGGUUUGACACUAAGUUUGUUGCACUCACACACACGGUUGCCACUUUGGGUCUUAAAGUGCUUUUUUCACACUUUUUGAACUUUCCGCUAGGUUGUGAGCUAUGAACUUACACUUAAGAUGUCUUAGGUCGUUUUUUAAGGUCCAAGUGAUACGUAGACAUGUUUUCAACACCUUUUAGGUUUGUUUUAAACUUAGUUUGUUGAACUUACGCACUUUGUUGCCAUUUUGGGUCUUGAAAGGCUCUUUUCUCACUUUUUUUUAACUUUUUGCUAGGUUAUGAGUAACGAACUUACACUUAAGCUUUGUUAGAUCGUUUCUAAAAUUCAAGUGAUAAUUAGACUCGUUUUGAACACUUUUAAGGUUGGUUUGAGGGUAAGUUUGUUGUACUUACACAUUUGGUUGCCAUUUCUUUUGUGGUCUUUGAAGUGCUUUUUUCACAGUUCUUGACUUUUUGGUACGUUGGGAGUUGUAAACUUACACUUAAACUUUGUGAGGUUGCUUUUAAGGGUCAAGUGAUACGUAGGCUCGGUUGGAACACUUUUUAAGUUUGUUUGAGACUAAGUCUGUUGCACUUACAUGCUUGGUCGGGUUGUGCCAUUUUAGGUCCUCGGUGCUUUUUUCACUCUUUUUUGAACUUUUUAGUCGGUUAUGAGUUGCGAA